GCAGAGGAAGAAGCAGGCUCCGUGCACCGGGAGCCUGACGUGGGAUUCGAUCCCAGGUCUCCAGGAUCACGCCCUGGGCCAAAGGCAGGCGCCAAACCGCUGCGCCACCCAGGGAUCCCUAUUGCAGCAUUCUUUACGAUAGCCAGAGCAAGGUGGUAUAAAAGAAAAAGGACAAACCCACGAAGGAAGAACUUGGGAUUUAGUUUCUGCUCUAAGCCUACUUAAUGUAUGACGUUAGACAAUUGUUUGUCACUGACCUUCAGGAUAGCAGUACUUUUUCUACCAAAAACACACAGUUCUUGUAAGGAUUCAUAAUAUAGCUUCACAGAUUGCUCUUUGACCUCGAUCAUAGUGCAGGACUGAAUCAUGUGAGCUGUGAUUUAUAAGAACUGUUUCUAUCAAUGGGAAAAUUAGAAUCAAAGUGACAAAUUGGAGAAAGACUUCAAAAAACCAUUGGAACUAAAGAGUCUAACAUAGCAUAGUUCACUGAUCACAAGCAAAAGACAGUCAACCUAAUGAAUAGGUAAGCCUAAAUCUUAUUUUCAUCAUAUCAUCCUAAAAAGUCAAAAAAUAAAAUACCUAAUUUUGCAGUUGUUAGGAAACAAAGUGUUUGACAUAACUGAUUUUCUAAGUAACUGAUAUUUAUCAUUUCAAAUGUUAAACUACAAAAAAAUUUAUUUUAUUCUAAAAUACAGGCAUAUCUCAUU